GUCGAGAAUCUUUCACAAUGGGGGCAACCCUGAUGGAGCGACGCCGCGUGGAGGAUAAGGUCUUCGGAUUGUAAACUCCUGUCAUGCGUGAACAAGGUUGCUUGGUUAAUACCUGGGCAAAUUGAUGGUAACGCAAGAGGAAGAGACGGCUAACUCUGUGCCAGCAGCCGCGGUAAUACAGAGGUCUCAAGCGUUGUUCGGAAUCACUGGGCGUAAAGGGUGCGUAGGUGGCGUGGUAAGUCAGAUGUGAAAGCGCGGGGCUCAACCUCGGAACUGCAUCCGAUACUGCCAUGCUAGAGUACUGGAGAGGUGACUAGAAUUCUCGGUGUAGCAGUGAAAUGCGUAGAUAUCGAGAGGAAUACCAAAGGCGUAGGCAGGUCACUGGACAGUUACUGACACUGAGGCACGAAGGCCAGGGGAGCGAACGGGAUUAGAUACCCCAGUAGUCC
rnacentral:rRNA from 1 species